GUGACGCCACYGAGAAUGAUACUGGUGCUCACCGACAGGACUUAACAAGUUAUUGGGAUCCCUGUGCGAUGGUUCCAUACAAA